rnacentral:rRNA from 1 species
CCCUACGGGGUGCAGCAGACGAGGGCGGGGCCAUACUGCUCUUCGACGAGGCCGAUGCCCUCUUCGGCAAGAGGAGCGAGGUCAAAGACAGCCACGACCGCUAUGCCAACAUCGAGAUCAGCUAUCUUCUGCAGCGCAUGGAGGAAUACAGGGGCCUGGCCAUCCUGACCACUAAUAUGAAGAAGGCCCUGGACACGGCAUUCAUGAGGCGCAUUCGCUUUAUCAUCGAUUUUCCCUUCCCCGACGCUGCCGGGAGGGCGGAGAUCUGGAGCCGUAUCUUCCCGAAAGAGACGCCGCUAGAGGACCUGGACAUAGGCAGGCUGGCGCGGCUGAAUGUGGCCGGGGGGAGCAUCAGGAACAUCGCACUUUAUGCUGCCUUCCUGGCGGCGGAGGCGGGGGAGC